CGAGAGCGUAUGUAAAAGUUGUUGCAGUUAAAAAGCUCGUAGUUGAACCUUGGGUUUGGUUGGCCGGUCCGCUUUUUUGCGAGUACUGGAUUCAACCGAGCCUUUCCUUCUGGCUAACCAGUCGUUUCGGCGGCUGGCGAACCAGGAUUUUUACUUUGAGAAAAUUAGAGUGUUCAAAGCAGGCAUUAGCUUGAAUAUAUUAGCAUGGAAUAAUAGAAUAGGACGUUAUGGUUCUAUUUUGUUGGUUUCUAGGACCAUCGUAAUGAUUAAUAGGGACGGUCGGGGGCAUCAGUAUUCAGUUGUCAGAGGUGAAAUUCUUGGAUUUACUGAAGACUAACUACUGCGAAAGCAUUUGCCAAGGACGUUUUCAUUAA
rnacentral:rRNA from 1 species